rnacentral:rRNA from 1 species
CAGCAGCCGCGGGAAUACAGAGGGUGCAAGCGUUAAUCGGAAUUACUGGGCGUAAAGCGCGCGUAGGUGGUUUGUUAAGUUGGAUGUGAAAUCCCCGGGCUCAACCUGGGAACUGCAUCCAAAACUGGCAGGCUAGAGUAGGGCAGAGGGUGGUGGAAUUUCCUGUGUAGCGGUGAAAUGCGUAGAUAUAGGAAGGAACACCAGUGGCGAAGGCGACCACCUGGACUGAUACUGACACUGAGGUGCGAAAGCGUGGGGAGCAAACAGGAUUAGAUACCCCCGUAGUCCCUGUCUCUUAUAC